UAUAUUUUACCCAGCCAGCAGCAUUGACAGUUAGACAGCUGGCCAAUCACCUGCACGAUUCAAGACACAAUCAAGCAAUGACGUGCAGCUGUGCGUGACAGGGGGGCUUGAUAUGGACAGUACUGCCCAGAUAAAGCUAAAGAAACUACAGAUACGAGAGAAAAAGUAACUGUUAAGUUAAAAUACCUGAACACCAAAUGUCUGUACUGGAAGCUUGCCUUGGGGGGCUGUGUUGGAUAAUUUAUUAGAGCCUGACCGAGUUAAAGAAGGCAGAAGCAGAACAGGCAGCUCUGGCUGGAGGCAGCCACUGGUUACAAGUUAUGACUGUCUGGUAUGAGCAUCAACUUGCAGAAACAUGCAGCUUGCCUGACAUACAUACUUGGACCUCCGCAAGAGCCCAUGAAAAUCACUCGAGCCAACUUUGGGAAUGACUGCCCCGGCUCUCUGAACCAUGAGAAGAUGAGAUGUAACAUGAAACCUCCUCUGCCCAGACACCAAUUCAUCACAGAGAAAUUGCUCUGCUUUUUGCCACUGGCCAUCCAGGAGGAACAUCUGAUACUGUUUGGCAGGAAACAGGCUGAGUCUGGCUGGCUGGGAAGGACGAGCUGACUGACAGACAGAACCUGGUCAGGAUCCAUGCCUUCACUGAAGUGAGCCAAGAGAUACAAGGAGCUGACUGUCUUCUGGACUGACCCCUGUUUUUAAAAGGUUAUUAGAUGAGGAAUCCUGGAAUCCUUCAUUGUCUUUAGGGUUUGUUUUGGUCAACUUACCUUAUUGUGUUGUGUUUCAGGAUGUUCACACUGUCCUUUGCACAAAACUCUUUACACAGGGGAAACGACUGGGAACAAGUAGAGUUAUCUCACACUGUUGGAAGAUGUUUGCAUUUGAGUUCAUAUUGAAACAGACUUUACAAAGUGAUUCAUAAUUCAGGAAUGAAUUAAAAGACUAUUGACAGAUAAAUAAUGGCUCAAAUGUAAAUAAGAAAAUGAAUUCAUCAUUCAUAGAUAAUUUAAAUUAAGUUUAUAAAUGUGCCUUUAAUUUACAUUUUACAAAGCGCUGUGUAGCCUGCAACACAAUCAGUGAAAUGACACCUAAACAAACACUGUUUUACCAUAAAGUUGCUCACCGUAUGUAUAUGCUCACAUUUAUAUGUUCACAUUAUCAUUUCACCUGCAGCUAUCUGUGUAAAACUGUACGCCUGGUCUGUAGUAUGUGUGAGGUGCACAUAUAUUUUAACGCACAUUCUUUUUUUAAAUACCAGUUUGUGUGGGAAACUAUUUAUACACAAUCUUUGAGCCUUGGUAUCCUUUAUAUACCCUGGUGAAAGUGAAUGCCCUAUGGCAUCACAUUCAUUCUCAAAACAUUCAGUGAUCCCUCAUAUCCUGAAUGGAAGAAUCUGCAUUUGUUAUGUUUCUCUACAAUGUAUAUCUAACAAUUGCAUUAGUAUUUAGAAAAGUGAUACUAUACCCAACCACCUGGAUUAUAUCUGAUCCAGUGUCUGCACAGUGAUACACCACUGAACUGCACUGAUUUUUCCACAGCCACAGCCACACUAAUGCUUUGCUAAUUGAGCUCAUCACCACGUUUUGGAUUUUAUAUGAUCCUUGCACGUUUGUUUAUGUAACCUAUAUUUAUGUGGGGUUGUGGUUUUCUGUAUUUUUGUUAUUUGUCAAGGUUCACAUGUUUGUUUUUAAUGAAUUAAUAAAAGUGUUGCGUUUGUUUUACUGUCAAUAAUGACUUGUGGAAGAGUAGGUUAUGCUAACUCUUCAUUUUACUCACUAAAUACUGCAUUUGUGCUGCAAAUAACAGCCGUUAUAUGCGCCAGCCUAUAUUAUCAGUAUUAUAGAAACAUCCUGCGUGCACAGUUCUGCCUUUCCAUCACUCCCAGGUCGUUACCAAUUUUGUCACGGUUUUAUUUUUCUUCUCUUUGCUCAGACCACUCGGGAGAGACUUGGGGUGCAUUUCAAAGCUAAUGGGAGGACCCGAAGGAGAAUUUCCAGCCCCGUGAUUUGCUAAUCGGGGGCUGGCUCGCUUGUCAUUUCCCUGUAACCGUGGCUCCGGUUUGUGGAGCUUGCCCAGCCCUCCUGUCCGCGGACGCACCAAGUGUACCGACUGUACUCUGUGCGUUAUGGUUAAAGCCCGACUUCCUUCACAGUGAAGGCUGGGCACUGGAAAGGAGGAUCGGGGGCCUCUGUGUGGCUGAGAGAAGAGGCUAAAACUUCUCACAUAUGGCUUUUUUGUAGGACAGUUUUCAUCAUCAUUUGGGAUUGUGGAAGGGACGUCACUAAAAAUCACCUGAAGUCGCUCAAAAGUUUU
rnacentral:lncRNA from 1 species